UACGAAGGGGGCUAGCGUUGCUCGGAAUCACUGGGCGUAAAGCGCACGUAGGCGGAUCUUUAAGUCAGGGGUGAAAUCCUGGAGCUCAACUCCAGAACUGCCUUUGAUACUGAGGAUCUUGAGUCCGGGAGAGGUGAGUGGAACUCCGAGUGUAGAGGUGAAAUUCGUAGAUAUUCGCAAGAACACCAGUGGCGAAGGCGGCUCACUGGCCCGAUACUGACGCUGAGGUGCGAAAGCGUGGGGAGCAAACAGG
rnacentral:rRNA from 1 species